CGUAACAUGUAGGGGAACCAGUGUGACUGGUUGAGACGUCCUGUAGACAGACGGACCCUUAGAACCUGAUCUGGUUGAGACCAGCGUAGGAAACAUAUCUAACGUUUUU
rnacentral:ncRNA from 2 species